UACGGAGGGUGCGAGCGUUGUCCGGAAUCACUGGGCGUAAAUGGCGCGUAGGCGGCGCGGGCAGUCAACGGUGAAAGCUUGGGGCUCAACCCCGAGUCGGCCGUCGAUACUCCCGGGCUGGAGCACUGUAGAGGCAGGUGGAAUUCCGGGUGUAGCGGUGGAAUGCGUAGAGAUCCGGAAGAACACCGGUGGCGAAGGCGGCCUGCUGGGCAGUAGCUGACGCUGAGGCGCGACAGCGUGGGGAGCAAACAGG
rnacentral:rRNA from 1 species